rnacentral:rRNA from 1 species
AUGAACGCUAGCUACAGGCUUAACACAUGCAAGUCGAGGGGCAGCAUGAGAGUAGCUUGCUACUCUUGAUGGCGACCGGCGCACGGGUGCGUAACACGUAUCCAAUCUACCCAUGGCUCGGGAAUAGCCUUUCGAAAGAAAGAUUAAUGCCCGAUGGUCUGUGAUUGAGACAUCUCGAUGACAGUAAAGAUUAAUCGGCGAUGGAUGAGGAUGCGUCUGAUUAGGUAGUAGGCGGGGUGACGGCCCACCUAGCCGACGAUCAGUAGGGGUUCUGAGAGGAAGGUCCCCCACAUUGGAACUGAGACACGGUCCAAACUCCUACGGGAGGCAGCAGUGAGGAAUAUUGGUCAAUGGGCGCGAGCCUGAACCAGCCAAGUAGCGUGAAGGGAUGACUGCCCUAUGGGUUGUAAACCUCUUUUGUUUGGGAAUAAAGUGAGUCACGUGUGGCUUUUUGUAUGUACCAUACGAAUAAGCAUCGGCUAAUUCCGUGCCAGCCGCCGC